rnacentral:lncRNA from 1 species
GUAUGCUGCUCAGAAUCAAACUGAGGGGAAACAAGACAAAGGCUACCCGACGGGUAUCGGUUUGAAGAACUCGUUUCUGUUGCUGUCAGUAAUCAACGCUGCUGGACUUUUCAUGACCUUCUUCGUCCCUGAAACAAAAGGACGCUCUUUAGAAGAACUGUCGGGGGAGAACAAUUCGGAUAAACAACAGGCUCCUUACAGCUCUUCAUACAUGGCGGAUAAACAAACGGGUUCUUACACCGAAUCAGGACGAUACUAGAUAAUAAAACUUCGACAAUUUUUAGUCACGUAGUAUCAACGUGUCUCUCUUGGUGAAAAAAUCCAGGACAGCAGCCGUGUUGGUUCGAUUUUCUUCCGUUAUCAUUCUUACAAAUUCUUUAGUAGAUGCCCUAGCUGUUGUUUAGCCAUAUUUUCAAAGCUGCACUGAUUGCGUUGGCGUCUCUACUUGUACAUAAUAUGUUUUCAACCAAAAAAACUAGUUUAGAGUGCACACACGGUGUGGAUGAAACUUUGCCUGUGAACCUCCUGUAAAUGCGGUGCCGUGUAUUGUUUGUUGCAACGAGAGCGUGAGAUUUUCUGAUGAAGAGUGCAAUCUAGUGGAAUGCUUCGGUCUCCGAUCACGGAUCUUGAGUUGGCCGCUGCCAAUGUGAUGUUAACUUGUAGGUUUGAAUCAAUAGUUGGAUGUAAAUUGACGAGCCUAAGAUAGUAUUCUUGAGACGCUGGUCUCAGACAAUACAAAUUUCAAUUAUGUAUCAAUCGAACAAAUGCAGUUUCCUUCAUGCACUCUGCAUUCGCUUUGAAGAAUCCUCGACCAUACCCAAUCGAACUUCUCCGAUUGGUGAAAGCUCAAACAACUCAAUCUAUGUAGAUUGCUCAAGAACAGACAUAGCCGGUGGCCAAAAUCGUUGAGAAAGUACCGUUCAGUCAUCUGCCUUCCAAAUAGAACUGGCAAUCAAAUAUCUACGCCGUUGUUGUAGCGAAGCCUGGUAAUUUGCACCUCACAAAAUUAGAUCUCUUGGGUACUUUGAUCACAGGUUUGACAUACUUUACAGCGGCAUAAUAUCAAGUUAGUUCUCACACUGACGACUCGUGGUUUCUCUAGGAACGACCUAAUGAGAGCAGGUUCGAGAGAUUGUGAACACACACCGCUUUGGCCGGGAAACUGCAGGUAGAGCGAUCCAUUCUCAGGUGGAGUUAAUUAUUCUUCUUUUAUUGCUGAAAUCGGGAACUUGGUCGCAUUGACGGUUAACUAAUGAAUUCGGUGAUAUUUCAUGAUUUUCGAGAAAACAUG